AAGAAGGAACCACAGGGAUUGCCCUAGUAACGGCGAGUGAAGCGGCAACAGCUCAAAUUUGAAAUCUGGCUCUUUUAGAGUCCGAGUUGUAAUUUGCAGAGGGCGCUUUGGCUUUGGCAGCGGUCCAAGUUCCUUGGAACAGGACGUCACAGAGGGUGAGAAUCCCGUACGUGGUCGCUGGCUAUUGCCGUGUAAAGCCCCUUCGACGAGUCGAGUUGUUUGGGAAUGCAGCUCUAAAUGGGAGGUACAUUUCUUCUAAAGCUAAAUAUUGGCCAGAGACCGAUAGCGCACAAGUAGAGUGAUCGAAAGAUGAAAAGCACUUUGGAAAGAGAGUCAAACAGCACGUGAAAUUGUUGAAAGGGAAGCGCUUGCAGCCAGACUUGCUUACAGUUGCUCAUCCGGGUUUCUACCCGGUGCACUCUUCUGUAGGCAGGCCAGCAUCAGUUUGGGCGGUAGGAUAAAGGUCUCUGUCACGUACCUCCUUUCGGGGAGGCCUUAUAGGGGAGACGACAUACUACCAGCCUGGACUGAGGUCCGCGCAUCUGCUAGGAUGCUGGCGUAAUGGCUGUAAGCGGCCCGUCUUGAAACACGGACCAAGGAGUCUAACAUCUAUGCGAGUGUUUGGGUGUCAAGCCCGAGCGCGUAAUGAAAGUGAACGGAGGUGGGAACCCGCAAGGGUGCACCAUCGACCGAUCCUGAUGUCUUCGGAAGGAUUUGAGUAAGAGCAUGGCUGUUGGGACCCGAAAGAUGGUGAACUAUGCUUGAAUAGGGUGAAGCCAGAGGAAACUCUGGUGGAGGCUCGCAGCGGUUCUGACGUGCAAAUCGAUCGUC
rnacentral:rRNA from 1 species